UACGUAGGGGGCAAGCGUUGUCCGGAUUUAUUGGGCGUAAAGAGCGUGUAGGCGGCCAUACAGGUCCGUUGUGAAAACUGGAGGCUUAACCUCCAGACGUCGAUGGAAACCGUAUGGCUAGAGUCCGGAAGAGGAGAGUGGAAUUCCUGGUGUAGCGGUGAAAUGCGCAGAUAUCAGGAAGAACACCCGUGGCGAAGGCGGCUCUCUGGGGCGGUACUGACGCUGAGACGCGAAAGCGUGGGGAGCAAACAGG
rnacentral:rRNA from 1 species